rnacentral:rRNA from 1 species
UUGAAAGGGAAACGAUUGAAGUGCGACCUGUGGGUAACCAGCCUCUUGGGGGAUUUUGUGAGUGAAGAAUUUAACCCCUUCAUGCCCCAAAUUCGUCCCCCGGGGUAUUUCCCGUGCGUAAUUACCCUCCCUUCGGGGGUCAUAAGGCCGGAGGAAUGUAGCUUCGAUCUUGUAUGAAAAUGAUACCCUUCGGUAGAUCUGAUGAUCGGGAUUGAGGAUUCCACCGGAUACCCUUCGGGCUACCUGUCUGAUCUCUGAUCGUUGCUCGGCCCGAAAGCUCGUUUAUAAGUUCAAAGUCGAUGUCAAUAGCUUAGCGGGUUUAAAUCGUUAAGGAUGUUGACGUA